rnacentral:lncRNA from 1 species
CGCCAGCCAGCCCACCCCGCCCCGGCGGCCUCUGGGAAAACGCGUCCCGGGCGAGCCCCUGAGGGCAGGAUCGGAGUCGGGGGCACCUGGGGAAGGAGAGCGCCCCGUGGGGCCUCGGCCGGUGGCCUGUGCCAAAAGGCCGGGCAGAGCUGCUUCGGUGUCUGGGUGAAGUUUCCAGCCAACCCAAGAAGGAAACCGAAAGGGAAGAGGCCGAGAGAGAGGUUAAUUCCUAGUGCUUUGGUUACCGAAAACAGCCCGGCUGGGACUGCUGGGCUGGGAACUUAGCUAAGCAGUGCGGAGGCUGAACCCCACCAUCUCUGGGAUCCGCAGCAAAUCAGAAGCCCCCACCCACGAUAAGGGGAAAAUGGGGCGCAGAGGGCAGGGAGGAAGGGAAGAGAAUGGAAGGAAAGCGCGUCUGGACUUUGAACUGCAGCCCUCUCCCUCUUUCCCUUGCCUCGGAAGCUCCAGGCCCACUCAGCACCAGUUCUGUCUCCUCUUUUCAGCCGCCUUCUCUCUAGCUACUGAGGGGAAAAGUCAGGAUGAAGCGGGUCCCUCGGCCUCCAGAAGGUGUUUUAUUACAGUCGCAAACAGCGCAGCCCAGGAAUUCUACCUAAAGUAACAUAUCCUAAGGCAACAACCAAGAAGUGUGGAAGAAUGCAUGUAAGAAGACACAGUGAUGUUUAGAAUCCUGGGGAAACGGAACAGCCAAAAAGUCUCACAGAGGUUAAGUAAAUAAUAGCAUUUUCAUACGAGUACUAUGUAGUCAUUUAAAAUUAUGUCUUUCAGUACCUAGUAAUG